rnacentral:rRNA from 1 species
CACGUAGGGUGCGAGCGUUGUCCGGAAUUAUUGGGCGUAAAGAGCUCGUAGGCGGUGUGUCGCGUCGGCCGUGAAAACUUGGGGCUUAACUCUGAGCGUGCGGUCGAUACGGGCAUCACUUGAGUUCGGCAGGGGAGACUGGAAUUCCUGGUGUAGCGGUGAAAUGCGCAGAUAUCAGGAGGAACACCGGUGGCGAAGGCGGGUCUCUGGGCCGAUACUGACGCUGAGGAGCGAAAGCAUGGGGAGCGAACAGGAUUAGAAACCCCCGUAGUCC